CCUCGGGCGCAGCAGUGGGGAAUAUUGCGCAAUGGGGGCAACCCUGACGCAGCAACGCCGCGUGAUUGAAGUAGGCCUUCGGGUUGUAAAGAUCUUUAAUCGGGGACGAAUUUUGACGGUACCCGAAGAAUAAGCUCCGGCUAACUACGUGCCAGCAGCCGCGGUAAUACGUAGGGAGCAAGCGUUAUCCGGAUUUACUGGGUGUAAAGGGCGUGUAGGCGGGCAUGCAAGCCAGAAGUGAAAUCUGGGGGCUUAACCCCCAAACUGCUUUUGGAACUGCGUGUCUUGAGGGAUGGAGAGGGAGG
rnacentral:rRNA from 1 species